AUGCCGGUGCAACAACACAGCAGCAGCCUCGCCAUGGAGCUAGGGGUCCGCGCUGCGCUAAGCCUCGACCAGCGAUCGCCGGCAAUGCCGCUGGAGCCGGCGCAACAACACCGGCGCAGCGUCAGCAGCAGCCUGGCCACGGAGCUAGGCGUCUGCGCCGCGCUGGGCCGCCUCUACCCGAGCGACGGCGUCGCGGUGCUCCCCAGCACGCUGCUCGACGAGUACGAGCGGCUGGCAAUCGAGGCCCAGCUCAGCCGGGCCGUCCUGCGCCGGAGCUACUCCGAGCCGAGCCCGUCCCGGAUCGUCGCGCUGGUGCGGGAGGAGACGGCCGCUCGCCGUGUCGAGAGCGUCGAGGAGGGGCCGCGGCGGGCGCCGUGCGAGCCGAGGGCGCGGAGGCCUUGGCUGCUGGAGGCGCUGAAGCGGGUCCUGUGCUGGCUGGGCGGCGCGUGGGGCGGACACGGCCGGAGCGAGGAACAGCAGGCAAUGCCGAUGCCGCCCGCGCCGGCGCCGGAGCCGCCAAGGAUGCGCCUGCUCGACUACCUUCGCUACAUGCGUGAGCACCGUGGAUUCGACAGCUGGGGUUUUGCUUGCCGAGCCCAGCAUCAGCGAUGCGCACCUCCGCGCGCGACGCAAGCCGGGCUUGGCGCGUACGUACGGUGGGAGGGACGCUGGUCGGCGUCGGAGUGCCAACUCCACCACGCGACCCUAUCCUGUCCGGCUCCGUCCGUUUGGGGUAAAACGGACAAACCAGGCCGCCCAGCGCGCGGGAGCAAACAGACUUUUGUCCGUUUUAUGUCCGUUUUCGAUCCAUCCGUGGUUCAAGUUUGCGCCGGUUUUGGGGUGAAACGGACAGCGCGCGGACGGGCGGGACGCGCGCGCGUGUCCACCCCUGGCCCGCCUGUCGGUGACACAAACCAAAACCUCCCCGCGGCCCCUUUGGCGCCAUUCCCCCCAAACCCUCCCACGUCCCGCCCGUCCCACUCCCUCCCCGCAUUCCAAUCUUUGGAGGCAUUCAAUGUCCGGCACAAUGACAAACCGUUCACUCUUACGCACUGUUGGACUAUGAUCAACAAUUGCCCCAAGUUCAAGGAUCAAUACCGUGAACUCCAAAGGAAGAGAGGCCUGAAGACGGCCAAGUUCGCCGAAGGUGGUGAUGGCGAGGCGUUGAAGAGGCCGAGGGGCAAGACCAACUCCAAGGUUGACGACAUACGUGAUGCCUCAUCCAUGGCAUUGCAUGACACUUUGCAUGGCAUGAUGUCGCAAAAGGAUGUGAGGGACAAGAAGAAGCGGCAAAGCAAGGACGAGCAAAUGAAGCAAUAUCUAGAGCUUCAAAGGAAGAAGCUUGAGAUGGAGGAGGCGGCCAAGAGAAGGAAGAUCGACAUGGAGGAGGAGGCCCGGCAGAGGCAGCUCGACAUGGAGGAGGUGGCCCGGCAAAGGCAGCUCGACAUCGAGGCCGACAACGUCAAGGCCAGGCAUAGGCAGCUCGACAUCGAGGCCACCAAUGCCGCCACCAAAGCAAAGGAGGUAGCCCUUGCGAUCAUGAGCGUGGACUUGUCGAAGAUGAGUAAGAAGACGAGGGCCUGGUUCGAGGCCAGGCAGAAGGAGAUGCUCGACGCCGACAGCCUGAACUAG
rnacentral:rRNA from 1 species